rnacentral:rRNA from 1 species
UACGGAGGGUGCGAGCGUUGUCCGGAAUCACUGGGCGUAAAGGGCGCGUAGGCGGCCUGAUAAGUAGGGGGUGAAAUCCUGCGGCUUAACCGCAGGGCUGCCUUCUAAACUGUCAGGCUCGAGCACAGUAGAGGCAGGUGGAAUUCCCGGUGUAGCGAUGGAAUGCGUAGAGAUCGGGAGGAACACCCGUGGCGAAGGCGGCCAUCUGGACCAGUACUGACGCUGAGGCACGAAAGCGUGGGGAGCAAACAGG